rnacentral:rRNA from 1 species
CAGCAGUCGCCACGGGAAUACGGAGGGUGCGAGCGUUGUCCGGAUUUAUUGGGUUUAAAGGGUGCGUAGGUGGCUUUAUAAGUCAGUGGUGAAAUACAGCCGCUCAACGGUUGAGGUGCCAUUGAUACUGUAGAGCUUGAAACAAGUGGAGGCUGCCGGAAUGGAUGGUGUAGCGGUGAAAUGCAUAGAUAUCAUCCAGAACACCGGUUGCGAAGGCAGGUGGCUACGUUUGAUUUGACACUGAGGCACGAAAGCAUGGGGAGCAAACAGGAUUAGAUACCCCGGUAGUCCCUGUCUCUUAUAC